rnacentral:rRNA from 1 species
GACGAACGCUGGCGGCACGCCUAACACAUGCAAGUCGAACGGUGAAGAGAAGCUUGCUUCUCGGAUCAGUGGCGGACGGGUGAGUAACAUGUGAGGAACCUGCCUUUCAGAGGGGGAUAACGUUUGGAAACGAACGCUAAUACCGCAUAACAUAUUCGGACGGCAUCGUCUGAAUAUCAAAGAUUUAUUGCAUACAGAUGGGUUCGCGUCCGAUUAGAUAGUUGGUGAGGUAACGGCCCACCAAGUCGACGAUCGGUAGCCGGACUGAGAGGUUGAACGGCCACAUUGGAACUGAGAAACGGUCCAGACUCCUACGGGAGGCAGCAGUGGGGAAUAUUGGGCAAUGGGCGAAAGCCUGACCCAGCGACGCCGCGUGAGGGAAGAAGGUCUUCGGAUUGUAAACCUUAGUCAACAGGGAAGAAGCAAGUGACGGUACCUGUGGAGGAAGCCACGGCUAACUACGUG